rnacentral:rRNA from 1 species
AUGCAUUUAUUUAUAUUUUUAUACAGGAAAUGCACCGACGUAUUUGUCAACACUCAACAGGCAGAACAUAGGCAAAAUAAUCAACAGAGCUUGGAGAAACGUCCAUCAUGUCUAACAACUUUGCAAAUCUCCACAGAGUUCGCAGUGCUGAAAAUACAAAGUAUAGGAGACCCUUGGGAAACCACUGCAAAGGUUGUCCCAAGAACUCCGCAAACACAAACAUCCAUCUCAAACUCCACAUCAUUUGGGGAAAAAAAAUCUCGUACUCCACACACCAUCGUAGUUACAGCAGCAGAUUAA